UGGGGAAUAUUGGACAAUGGGGGAAACCCUGAUCCAGCGAUGCCGCGUGUGUGAAGAAGGCCUGAGGGUUGUAAAGCACUUUAGUUGGUGAGAAGAGGCCUGGUACGAAUAGUGCCAGGAAGAGAUGUUAGCCAAAGAAUAAGCACCGGCAAACUCUGUGCCAGCAGCCGCGGUAAUACAGAGGGUGCAAGCGUUAAUCGGAAUAACUGGGCGUAAAGGGCUUGUAGGCGGUUAGAGAAGUUAUAGGUGAAAUCCCCGGGCUUAACCUGGGAAGGUCCUGUAAAACUUUUUAACUAGAAUAGAGUAGAGGUAAGUGGAAUUUCCGGUGUAGCGGUGAAAUGCGUAGAUAUCGGAAAGAACACCAGUGGCGAAGGCGACUUACUGGACUCAUAUUGACGCU
rnacentral:rRNA from 1 species